UGACCCCCUGGGAAGUCCUUGUGUUGCAACCC
rnacentral:rRNA from 1 species